rnacentral:rRNA from 1 species
AUUGAACGCUGGCGGCAGGCCUAACACAUGCAAGUCGAGCGGUAGAGAGAAGCUUGCUUCUCUUGAGAGCGGCGGACGGGUGAGUAAUGCCUAGGAAUCUGCCUGAUAGUGGGGGAUAACGUCCGGAAACGGACGCUAAUACCGCAUACGUCCUACGGGAGAAAGUGGGGGCUCUUCGGACCUCACGCUAUCAGAUGAGCCUAGGUCGGAUUAGCUAGUUGGUGGGGUAAAGGCUCACCAAGGCGACGAUCCGUAACUGGUCUGAGAGGAUGAUCAGUCACACUGGAACUGAGGAACGGUCCAGACUCCUACGGGAGGCAGCAGUGGGGAAUAUUGGACAAUGGGCGAAAGCCUGAUCCAGCCGUGCCGCGUGUGUGAAGAAGGUCUUCGGAUUGUAAAGCACUUUAAGUUGGGAGGAAGGGUCGUUACCUAAUACGUGGCGAUUUUGACGUUACCGACAGAAUAAGCACCGGCUAACUCUGUGCCAGCCGCCGCCGUAAUAC